AUUGAACGCUGGCGGCAGGCCUAACACAUGCAAGUCGAGCGGAUGAAGGGAGCUUGCUCCUGGAUUCAGCGGCGGACGGGUGAGUAAUGCCUAGGAAUCUGCCUGGUAGUGGGGGAUAACGUCCGGAAACGGGCGCUAAUACCGCAUACGUCCUGAGGGAGAAAGUGGGGGAUCUUCGGACCUCACGCUAUCAGAUGAGCCUAGGUCGGAUUAGCUAGUUGGUGGGGUAAAGGCCUACCAAGGCGACGAUCCGUAACUGGUCUGAGAGGAUGAUCAGUCACACUGGAACUGAGACACGGUCAAGACUCCUACGGGAGGCAGCAGUGGGGAAUAUUGGACAAUGGGCGAAAGCCUGAUCCAGCCAUGCCGCGUGUGUGAAGAAGGUCUUCGGAUUGUAAAGAACUUUAAGUUGGGAGGAAGGGCAGUAAGUUAAUACCUUGCUGUUUUGACGGUACCAACAGAAUAAGCACCGGCUAACUUCGUG
rnacentral:rRNA from 1 species